UUACGGCCAUAUCACAUUGGAACACGGGUUCCCGUACGAUCACCGAAGUUAAGCAACGUCGAGACUGGUCAGUAUCUAGAUGAGUUACCGUUUGGGAAUACCAAGUGUUAUA